UACGUAGGGGGCUAGCGUUGUCCGGAAUCAUUGGGCGUAAAGAGCGUGUAGGCGGCCCGGUAAGUCCGCUGUAAAAGUCAAAGGCUCAAACCUUUGAAUGUCAGUGGAUACUGCCGGGCUAGAGUCCGGAAGAGGCGAGUGGAACUCCUGGUGUAGCGGUGGAAUGCGCAGAUAUCAGGAAGAACACCAACGGCGAAGGCAGCUCGCUGGGACGGUACUGACGCUGAGACGCGAAAGCGUGGGAGCGAACAGG
rnacentral:rRNA from 1 species